GCUAUAAAAUAACGUAGCGAAAUGACCGUACUUAUAGAUUAAACUUUUGUUUUCCAUUUUAAUUGUUUUACACUAGUCAUUUUAGGGACCGUUAUAGCUUGCUGUUCAUUGAGGGUCAAAGCUCCGUGUUGAGGCCGUACUUUUGACCUCUAAUUAAAUUAUACCAUGUGACUUGAUGGAGGGUUGUUUCAUUUGCACACAUACCACAUCUUCUUAUUUAUAUUAACCGGGAG
rnacentral:lncRNA from 1 species